CGGAGGGGACUAGCGUUGUUCGGAAUUACUGGGCGUAAAGCGCGCGUAGGCGGAUCAGACUAAGGUUAGGGUAGAACGUCCGGGCUACCAACCCGGAACUGCCCUUAAAACUAAGUUGUAGUCUUGAGUUCGAGAGAGGUGAGUGGAAUUCCGAGUGUAGAGGUGAAAUUCGUAGAUAUUCGGAGGAACACCAGUGGCGAAGGCGGCUCACUGGCUCGAUACUGACGCUGAGGUGCGAAAGUGUGGGGAGCAAACAGGAUU
rnacentral:rRNA from 1 species